AUCCAGCUGACGAGUCCCGAAUAGGACGAAACGCACGUAUUGGAU
rnacentral:hammerhead_ribozyme from 1 species